UCCGACUUAGCUCAGCGGUAGAGCAAUCGGCUGUUAACCGAUCGGUCGUCCGUUCGAACCGGACAGUCGGAGCCA
rnacentral:tRNA from 1 species